UACGAAGGGGGCUAGCGUUGCUCGGAAUUACUGGGCGUAAAGGGUGCGUAGGUGGUUGUUUAAGUCUGUCGUGAAAUCCCCGGGCUCAACCUGGGAAUGGCGAUGGAUACUGGGCAGCUAGAGUGUGUCAGAGGAUGGUGGAAUUCCCGGUGUAGCGGUGAAAUGCGUAGAGAUCGGGAGGAACAUCAGUGGCGAAGGCGGCCAUCUGGGACAACACUGACGCUGAAGCACGAAAGCGUGGGGAGCAAACAGG
rnacentral:rRNA from 1 species